AGUGAACGCUGGCGGUAGGCCUAACACAUGCAAGUCGAACGGCAGCACAGUAAGAGUUUGCUCUUACGGGUGGCGAGUGGCGGACGGGUGAGGAAUACAUCGGAAUCUACUUUUUCGUGGGGGAUAACGUAGGGAAACUUACGCUAAUACCGCAUACGAUCUACGGGUGAAAGCAGUGGAUCUUCGGACCUUGCGCGAUUGAAUGAGCCGAUGUCGGAUUAGCUAGUUGGCGGGGUAAAGGCCCACCAAGGCGACGAUCCGUAGCUGGUCUGAGAGGAUGAUCAGCCACACUGGAACUGAGACACGGUCCAGACUCCUACGGGAGGCAGCAGUGGGGAAUAUUGGACAAUGGGCGCAAGCCUGAUCCAGCCAUACCGCGUGGGUGAAGAAGGCCUUCGGGUUGUAAAGCCCUUUUGUUGGGAAAGAAAAGCAGCAGGUUAAUACCCCGCUGUUCUGACGGUACCCAAAGAAUAAGCACCGGCUAACUUCGUG
rnacentral:rRNA from 1 species